UACAGAGGUCCCGAGCGUUGUUCGGAUUUAUUGGGCGUAAAGGGCGCGUAGGCGGUUCGUUAAGUCCUGUGUGAAAUCCCCCGGCUCAACUGGGGAACUGCACAGGAAACUAGCGGACUUGAGUUCGGGAGAGGGAAGCGGAAUUCCGGGUGUAGCGGUGAAAUGCGUAGAUAUCCGGAGGAACACCGGUGGCGAAGGCGGCUUCCUGGACCGACACUGACGCUGAGGCGCGAAAGCUAGGGGAGCAAACGGG
rnacentral:rRNA from 1 species